rnacentral:rRNA from 1 species
GACGAACGCUGGCGGCGUGCCUAAUACAUGCAAGUUGAGCGCUGAAGGUUGGUACUUGUACCAACUGGAUGAGCAGCGAACGGGUGAGUAACGCGUGGGGAAUCUGCCUUUGAGCGGGGGACAACAUUUGGAAACGAAUGCUAAUACCGCAUAAAAACUUUAAACACAAGUUUUAAGUUUGAAAGAUGCAAUUGCAUCACUCAAAGAUGAUCCCGCGUUGUGUUAGCUAGUUGGUGAGGUAAAGGCUCACCAAGGCGAUGAUACAUAGCCGACCUGAGAGGGUGAUCGGCCACAUGGGGACUGAGACACGGCCCAAACUCCUACGGGAGGCAGCAGUAGGGAAUCUUCGGCAAUGGACGAAAGUCUGACCGAGCAACGCCGCGGGAGUGAAGAAGGGUUUCGGAUCGGAAAAAUCUGUUGGUAGAGAAGAACGUUGGUGAGAGUGGAAAGCUCAUCAAGUGACGGUAACUACCCAGAAAGGGACGGCUAACUACGUG